GGCGCCCCCCAUUGUGCUGCGCCCCUAUGCGCCGCAUAUAUCGCAUACCCACUUUUUGCGCCACUGACUGUGCAGAUAUCAUUUGAUAGUUUUAAUUCAUUUAUUUAAACGUUUCUCUUCAUAGUAUUUAAAUCUAGCACUGUUUGUCUAUGAUGUUCUCACAGUUAGUGUCAUGACAAGACCGCAUUUGAGGACAGCGGAAAAAACUAUUGUCACACUCAACCCACACAUCACUCAAACAUCUGAAAUAAGUCAUGAGAGAUCUCAAUAAUGUGUGACUAUAGAGCCCUGUACCUGUACAUGCCAUUUACAAUGACACGCAAUAUACCACACUCUGAGGUCUAAAAGAAUCCAUUUUGCAUGCAAACAUUUCCUACAUGUCCUCUAUUUCACCUCAAAUUUAAAUAAGAGCAAUAAGCGUCCCUUUAUUUGUUAUUUCUACUCUUUAUAAAAACAAAUUCCACUUUUAAAAAGCCUGGCUUGUCCAAAGAUGCAUUGGAUUUUUGAAGUAUAGCCCUUUAAAUAAAAGGGAAUUACUUCAGUUGCUACUAAAAGAGGCCCCAUGUGGGAGGGGUGGGACUUCCUCAAUUGCACAUGACUGGAAUAAUGAGGAACAUCUACAGUGACCUUGUUGUGUCAGCUACAGGAAGUUUAGUUUGCUCAAGGCACUUAGUGGAGGAUGCACGUUACCAGAUGGCCUGUCCACUCUCAGGAAGAAAUCCUCUGGUCUUAUGCAAUCUUUCUCACUCUCUUCCUGAUGCUGCCUCGGCACUCUCAGUCCUGUACAAUCUCUCUGCUAAAGCUCUAAGAUGGACACCAGAUGCUGAAACCUGAUGCUUCAGACGACCAAGCAGCCUGCUGAGGAUUGCUGUAUUUUUUUUUUAUCUUCCUUUGUUUACAUUGCUUAUUAAUUUGCAUGUUUUAGCCAAAUGUAGAGCAAGAUCUCAGAACAAUGGUCGAUUAUCCAGACACUUUUCCAGUUCCUGAUCUACAAUACUGCUUCUAAGUAAAUAUAUCCGAUGCAUGAACUUUUGAACUGUUUGACCGACAGUCAAACAGUUAAUAAAAAAACAGCAUGCUUCAAAGAACAUUUUAAAGCCUUUUAGGAGAACGUUUGGGGUGUAUGAUGCCUUUCUGGAAAUUCCAUUGCGAUCCUGUUUCUGAUUUAUGCUGUAAUCAUGCCAUUUGAAUCACUAAGUUAGUUAAGCGAACAACAGUUUUUUAAUUAGAAAACCAAUAAAAAAUACAUGUGGGAGAACUAUCUGCCCAAAGUAACACACAAAGAUGAAUGAAUGAGCACUCAUUCAUAACUAAAUACUUGUGAGUACUACUAUCUUUUCUUUAGAAAGCUUGAUUUAGAAAA